rnacentral:rRNA from 1 species
GACGAACGCUGGCGGCGUGCCUAAUACAUGCAAGUCGAGCGAGACUCUUCGGAGUCUAGCGGCGGACGGGUGAGUAACACGUGGGCAACCUGCCUGUAAGACUGGGAUAACACCGGGAAACCGGUGCUAAUACCGGAUAAUCCUUUUCCUCUCAUGAGGAAAAGCUGAAAGUCGGUUCCGGCUGACACUUACAGAUGGGCCCGCGGCGCAUUAGCUAGUUGGUGAGGUAACGGCUCACCAAGGCGACGAUGCGUAGCCGACCUGAGAGGGCGGGCGGCAACACUGGGGCUGAGACACGGCCCAGACUCCUACGGGAGGCAGCAGUAGGGAAUCUUCCCCAAUGGACGAAAGUCUGAUGGAGCAACGCCGCGUGAGCGAUGAAGGCCUUCGGGUCGUAAGCUCUGUUGUUAGGGAAGAACAAGUACCGGAGUAACUGCCGGUACCUUGACGGUACCUAACCAGAAAGCCACGGCUAACUACGCGCCAGCAGCCGCAGUAAUAC